rnacentral:rRNA from 1 species
GUUAGGAAUAUUGGACAAUGGGCGAAAGCCUGAUCCAGCCAUGCCGCGUGAACGAUGAAGGCCUUCGGGUUGUAAAGUUCUUUAGCCGAUGAUUAUAAUGACUGUAGUCGGAAAAUAAGCCCCGGCUAACUUCGUGCCAGCAGCCGCGGUAAUACGAAGGGGGUGAGCGUUAUUCGGAAUCACUGGGCGUAAAGCGUGCGUAGGCGGUUUUGUAAGUUAGGAGUGAAAGCCCAGGGCUCAACCUUGGAAUUGCUCUUAAAACUGCAAGGCUCGAAUCUCGGAGAGGAUAGCGGAAUUUCCAGUGUAGCAGUGAAAUGCGUAGAUAUUGGAAGGAACACCAGUGGCGUAAGCGGCUAUCUGGACGAGUAUUGACGCUGAGGCACGAAAGCGUGGGGAUCAAACAGGAUUAGAAACCCGGGUAGUCC